rfam:Aestuariibacter aggregatus strain CGMCC 1.8995 genome assembly, contig: Ga0079874_102
UGUUUCCUGGGGUGUUUGCCAGUCUAUUCAUGUCCCUGGCCGAUGCUUUAAACCAAGGAAGUUGACAUACAGCUAUUGUGCAGGCUCGGCGCGUAUCGAGAAGCCUACGGUUGUAGAGAUGCUUCCGCCCUGAACUUUUCGGUUCACGGGCGAAUAAUAGACAGCGGCACUCUGGGAAGCGC